rnacentral:rRNA from 1 species
GGGGAAUCUUGCGCAAUGGGCGAAAGCCUGACGCAGCCAUGCCGCGUGGAUGAUGAAGGUCUUAGGAUUGUAAAAUCCUUUCAGCGGGGACGAUAAUGACGGUACCCGCAGAAGAAGCCCCGGCUAACUUCGUGCCAGCAGCCGCGGUAAUACGAAGGGGGCUAGCGUUGCUCGGAAUUACUGGGCGUAAAGGGCGCGUAGGCGGACAGUUAAGUCGGGGGUGAAAGCCCGGGGCUCAACCUCGGAAUUGCCUUCGAUACUGGCUGUCUUGAGUGUGAGAGAGGUGUGUGGAACUCCGAGUGUAGAGGUGAAAUUCGUAGAUAUUCGGAAGAACACCAGUGGCGAAGGCGACACACUGGCUCACUACUGACGCUGAGGCGCGAAAGCGUGGGGAGCAAA